GUGGGGAAUCUUGCGCAAUGGGCGAAAGCCUGACGCAGCCAUGCCGCGUGAAUGAUGAAGGUCUUAGGAUUGUAAAAUUCUUUCACCGGGGACGAUAAUGACGGUACCCGGAGAAGAAGCCCCGGCUAACUUCGUGCCAGCAGCCGCGGUAAUACGAAGGGGGCUAGCGUUGCUCGGAAUUACUGGGCGUAAAGGGCGCGUAGGCGGACAGUUUAGUCAGAGGUGAAAGCCCAGGGCUCAACCUUGGAAUUGCCUUUGAUACUGGCUGUCUUGAGUACGGGAGAGGUGAGUGGAACUACGAGUGUAGAGGUGAAAUUCGUAGAUAUUCGGAAGAACACCAGUGGCGAAGGCGACUCACUGGCCCGUUACUGACGCUGAGGCGCGAAAGCGUGGGGAGCAAACAGGAUUAGAUACCCCUGUAGUCC
rnacentral:rRNA from 1 species